rnacentral:rRNA from 1 species
UACGUAGGGCCCAAGCGUUGUUCGGAUUUACUGGGCGUAAAGGGCGCGUAGGCGGCUUAACAAGUCACUUGUGAAAUCUCCGGGCUUAACUCGGAACGGCCAAGUGAAACUGUCAAGCUAGAGUGCAGAAGGGGCAAUCGGAAUUCUUGGUGUAGCGGUGAAAUGCGUAGAUAUCAAGAGGAACACCUGAGGUGAAGGCGGGUUGCUGGGCUGACACUGACGCUGAGGCGCGAAAGCCAGGGGAGCAAACGGG